AAAAAAAGAAGAAACACAACCAAAAGACAAAAGGAGGUUACACGGAAAAAUAUGAAAGACUGGAGAAACAACAAUAUGAUGAGAGAAGAAGAAAUAACCAAGAGCAUGUGAACACCUGCACUGUGAAUAAAGAGAGACGAGGCAAAGAUGUGUCCAGGACAAGAGAACCACAAGAAAGAAGAACUUAAUAAAAGAACAUAAAGACAGAACAAAAGAAAAAGUGUGGUCAUACUUGAUUUAAUUUUGUUUAGUGUUAAACGUAUAUUCGUGGAAAAUAAGGUUUCUGACACAAUUUCUGCAGAUUGAGUAUUUUAAACACAGCUUUUUAUAUUGUGUAGUGUUCAUUUUUUUAGUGUUUACCAAGUCGUGCUGCUCAUAUGCGCCUAAAAUUAGAAAUAAAGUUUUAUGAAUAUGAAGUGAUAUAAAAAACGCAUGCAUAGAAAACUGCAAAAAGAGGGAGAUUUAUCAAAAGAAAGUUGAUAAGAGGGUCUAAUUAUAGAUGGGGCUACCUCGGCU